rnacentral:misc_RNA from 1 species
UUGUUUCGAUUUACUCGUAAACUCCGACGCAAAGAUGCAGUGUUUUGAUGGUCCUCCGGGGGCGCCCGGCAGGGUCGCCCCCGAAGCAACGGGAUGAGUUCACAGAGGGUUGGAGGUCGGACCCGGAGGCCCUCGCUCGGUAAUGAUCCCUCCGCAGGUUCACCUACGGAGA